ensembl:lncRNA
AAGAGAGUCAGCGCUGGACCGGGUGUUCGAUGCCGACCCUGAAGCGCCAAAGCACUCAGCGCCACCAAGAGAUGACGUCAGCGCUGAGCCUGGGUGUUCGAUGCCGGCCGGGAAACCAACCCUGCGCUGAGCUCCACCGACAGGUUGACAGAAGGGGACGCAGGCGAAGACAGAGGGAGAUGAAGACAGAUGGAGACGGAAGCCAGCCAGCUCCAUCUACAGGCCAGGCUGUUGUACAAAGUUGUAUAAAGUAGAAGUAGAAAACAUACGUUUUAGGAAAGUUUUAGGAAAGAACAUCAUAUUUCAAAUGACCGAGCCUUAUUUUACUGAAGGGGAGAAGAUGGAAGGUGCUGUGGACAGACGGAGAUGAAGACACAGAGAGGCGAGCACGAAGACAGACGAGGAAGAAGACAAUGGGAGACGAAGACACACGUGGAUGAAGGAACAGAGCGAAGAAGGCUCAGAAGAGGGGGAGCAGUGUAGAGGAAGAGGAGUGGAGGGACAUGGUCCAGACCUCCAUACCACAGCUGUACCCCAGCACCUGGUCCUACUACUGCUUCUGACAGAUCAUCCCCACAUCGUUAACUGCCCUUAACACCAUGUCUAACUCAUUCACACCCUACUCUGUUUCCAAUAAAAUAUGAAAUAUG